GUGCCUACGGGAGGCAGCAGUGGGGAAUAUUGCACAAUGGGGGAAACCCUGCUGCAGCGACGCCGCGUGAGCGAAGAAGUAUUUCGGUAUGUAAAGCUCUAUCAGCAGGGAAGAAAAAUGACGGUACCUGAGUAAGAAGCACCGGCUAAAUACGUGCCAGCAGCCGCGGUAAUACGUAUGGUGCAAGCGUUAUCCGGAUUUACUGGGUGUAAAGGGAGCGCAGGCGGUGCGGCAAGGCUGAUGUGAAAGCCCGGGGCUCAACCCCGGGACUGCAUUGGAAAAGACCGAAA
rnacentral:rRNA from 1 species